CUUUUUUAGAGGUAAGCAGCCAGCCAGGAUGGUCGUGUCAUCGACACUGGUGGUGCGGUGGCCACCCAUCAGCGGCUUGGGGCGACGAGGCUACCUUUGGCGGCGCCGCGGGGCGCAGGUCCGCGAGCGGCUGCGGCCGCACGGGGUGGAGGGCCGCGUCAUGUAGGUCGGCGGGCUGGAGGCGCGCCCGGGGAGGGGGCGGCGGAGGGAGAGGCAGGGGCAGGACCUGGAGAGCCUGCGGCGGCGGCGUUGUUGGGUGCGCCAGCCGGCGCGCACGCGGCUCACCCCGCGGAAGGUGCAGCAGUUGGUGCCCCGGGGCCGCCCCGACGAGCUGCGCUACGCCCGGCGGCCCGACCGGAAGAAGGCGCGGGGGUACCGCCUCUUCGAGGCCAAGCCGACGCUGGGCCGGUCCCCGCGGCGGCGGCUCCCCAUGCCGUCGGCGUACGAGCGGUUUCUGCUGAGGCACGAGCUGACCGCGCUGAUGAAGCUGGUGGUGUGGGAGGGGCUCAGGGCGGCGCUGGGGCGGGCCACCGGGCUGAAGCAGGGUCCUAUGUCCCUGUGACAACAUUUUAUGUCACUGUCGUACUUUCAGGAACGGGUUUCUAACGACACGUAGUAGAGACUUUCAGACUUGAACGGUGGGAGGAUGGACGUUCUUCGCCACCCCCUUCGAAUAGUCUUGUAGUGGCAAUCGAUGAUAAGGGGAACAGGUGUCGGUCUAGAACGAGAGCCUAACGUUAGAGUAAGACUGAAACCGCGUUAUUGUGAAGAUUAUGUUCUACUACACCCACCCGAGCUCCAUAAAUUCCUACCCUACACCUAUGGACACGUAGGACACGGACCACGUUAGGAACAUUAAGACAGACUGGUCUGUCUCUAGUAUUGGUUGCCUUCUAUGUUCUCGCGGCACGUAGCUCGACACCAGUUACGGCUGGCACGGGCGAACAGUCACCGCUGCAAGAUGCUAGGUGGAUUUAGAGUCUUUUAUACAUGACGGGGGGUCGAGCACUCGUUCCUGGUAGGCGUCUUCAUAGCCCUACACCAAAUGCCGCUGAUACAGAGUAGGACCAUGUCGUUUCCAGGUCUCCCGUUCGCGUUAUAGCUGCGGGAGGACUACCUCGUUAUCUGUCCCGGUAACUUUACACGGUGUUUUAAACAAUGUGUGUGUCGCGCUUGGACUGUUUGAACUAGUUAUUUCUCCACCUUUUGUUCUAACAUAUAUUACACUAAACAAACACACUUUUAAAUGGAAUCGGAAGCACAUCAACUUACGAUACUAGUUAUUAAGUACAGAGCAAACCAGC
rnacentral:rRNA from 1 species